CCUGAUGCAUCGCUGUUCUCACCACCACUCCUCCCUCGCCAUCUUCAGUUCGCGGUCAGCAGUGAUGAACCAAGGGCCACAAUGUCAACCAUCCUCGACCCCCUGGCCUGAGCUACUUCUGCCGCCACUACCGCCUUUUCCCCCAUAUGCACCUACCGCAGGUCGCCCUCUCCCCAAUUUCUAUCCAUCAACCUCAUGAAUUUGGGCUUCAAACUGCAUGGUGCGUCGGCCGGGACCUCGCAAUUGGGGACCAAGAAAGAGGGGCACCAGGGAGUGGAGGCACCGGUUGCUGGAGGAGCGAGGGUGAGGAUGGCCGUGGCAGUUCGUGUGAGGCAUCUGAAGGAGACAACGAGAAAUCUUCUCACAAUUGGUCUACAAGAUUUUGGGAUGCAACUCAUAUUCAUUGCGUUGCUUCUGUAAUCACUAUGUCUGCGUGCUUGAUCGGCCUACUUCAUCAUAUCCAAAGAAGGGUCUUUCCCACCACAUGUUUAUUUGAAUGACCAACAAUUCUUGCAGGAUGGCAUGUGAGGUCCACUGCCAUGCGAUGUGAUCGGAUCGCAGGUUGCGGUGGCAUGUGGUCGUUGAGGGCGGCCUGUAGGAGGUUGAAGUCUCUGCUGAACUCUCUGCUCUUGAUCACCACCGAUGAAGGGGAUGCUGAAAUCUAUGGACCACCAGGUGCACCUGCCAAAUUCUUUCUGACACUUUCCAUGUCUGAGUUGCUUCCUUUUCUUCAUUUUACAUGCUCAUUUCCAUGUCUGAGUUGCUUUCUUUUCUUCAUUUUACAUGCUCAUUUUUCUUGCAUGCCAUACAUGCUUGACAGUAAUCUCAUAGUUCUAUAACCUCAAGCAUGUAUAUCGCUGAGGAAUUUCUAUCUUUGGUAAGGUUGUCUCAUUUAUCUGUUACAUGGGGCUUUGCACUGCAGAAGUAGCUCAGUUAGAGUGCUCAAACUAUUUUCAGAUUUUGUUAAUAGGGUUUGAUAGGACAGUUCGUGGUUUUGAUGGUAUUGCAGCACUUUCUGCCUCCCUCUCACUAUUUAUUUCUGCCUGUAAUAUUCAAUGUAGGAGUGGCACAUGUGUCUUGAUGCCAAUGGAGAAGGGACAUUUGUUUUAAAUCCCACCCGAUGGAAAGAAAGUCACAAAAAAGCUGAGUCAUUGCAUGUGACCUCUACUUUUCUUGGAUUUAGCUGGGUUAGAAAGAACUAGAUUUAGAUGUGCGCCUUGGCGCACGAUCCCGUGAAAUUUGCACCAAUUUACAAUUUGUAUAAGAAUGAUGAAAAUCAGGUGAAAACUGAAGAUAAGAUUUUUAGAUUUUACAAAACAAAGUCAAUAGGAUAAAAUUAAGAUAAAACACACGAAAUCACGAAUGGAGUAGCAAACGCUUAUAUACAAUCAAGAAAAGAUGAAGUAGAGCAACAUUUUGUGGCUUGCAUGACUUGCGGCCCCAGUAAAUAGUUUGUAAAGUGCUAUAUUAACAUCUAUAGACAUCGACGGUAAUAAAACAUCAAAUGAAAAAAACUAUUCAAUGGGUGAAACACUAUGUAAACAGUCAUUAUUACAACAUAUCAAAGGUUGUUGGUUGUAUAGUUGGACUUCUCCAUCGGAAUGAUGUUCAGGAGAUGCUAUCGGAGAGAAUGUCACCAGCACUUCUCCCUUCGCCCUUGGUGGGUAUUGUGUGUUAAUGGUUUUGGAAACUGCGGACGGUGAGCGCCACCUUGAUGAUGACCCUGGAUGGAAUCUCACUGACAUCCAUAGAUUAAAUCUGGUAAGAAAGGAUGGAAGAUCAUAUUAGCUAAGGGUAAACGGAAUCAACAUUGACAUAUACGUAGAGAACGUUUGUGAAUCAGGAGCCCGACUUGGCAUGCGUUCCCCAUCUAUGGUAAAUAAUUUUGCAAUCACUAUAUAUUAAUCGUGCAUAAAAAUAUAUAACUGACUAAGAUAUAAAUGAAGGACACACAUGACUUAGUCAUUCCAAUAUGAAGUACAGAAACAACCGGUGUACUUGGAUUCAAUUCUUAAAUGGUAAUUCAAAAACUAAAUGUAAAUGAAAAUGGUACUCUUAUGUUACAGAUAGACGUGUAACAAUGUUUUUACGGCUGUGUUUCUGAAAUUAUUAAUUUCUCCUAUUCAUUGUGCGUGGCGAUGGAACAAAUAGAUACACUCAACUUAGUGAAAACAAUGAUGGGCCUGGCUCACUUAUGAAAACAGAGGUUUGCCACAACUUUGCGCUGUUUACUUGCAGUUGGAGACAUCCCGAGCUUUGCCCUGAUUUAAAACUUCAGAGCAGGACCAUCUAUCAGAUUUUUAUUGUACAACCCAUAUCCCGCUUCUGUUUAGCAUGCAUCAGAUGCCAUUUCAUGGAACUGCCUGAGAAAUUUCUUGACCUUGCAAGACCUGUGGGAACCCAACAGAUUCACCAAAGCCAACAGAUGGGUGGAAAAAACAGAAGUUUCGAGGUGGAAGCCUACAUCUUUGCGUAUUAGUAAGGAAUAUAGAACCAUUAGAACGUUCAAAUUAUGUGGCCCCAGUUGGCUAAGGAGAAUAUGUAACACGCUGAGUUCCAUAAGCCAUCAAUUCUUGAUCAGGCAAGAUCCUUGGGAGCUUACCAGCUACCAUGGAGUUCGGACAACCAUUUGCAAAUACGAUUUUGAUUACUUAUUGUAAUAACCGAUUCGUUGGUUUCUAUUAAGAAAUAUAAAAAUCUAUACAACACAAGUAUGUAUAGAUUGGGAUUCACCAAUUGCCAAAGGUCAGAAUAUUCAAAAUAUAUACGAUUUAGAAAAGAAAAAAUGUGCAUUGAAGAGGUAAUUGCUGCAUUUUCAGUUUGAAAAGUCACAUCGUGUGUCUAGGAAAUUCUUGCAUGUACACACAAAAAGUAGCUACCAGAACACAAUUCAUCGUAUUCAUAAAUAUGAUUGAUGAUAUGUACAGAGGCAGGAAUCACAUGAAGGUAUUCUACAUUCUAGUGUAACUUGACUAACUUCAGGGCAGUUUCUAUGCGAAAAACACAUCCUCUACACUGAAGUAAAUGCAUCAGCAACUGCUAAUAAGACACUUAAUCAAGGCACAGCUUCUCCUCUCCUGGCAACAUGAACCAUUUCCAGCAUAUAAGGGCUUGUACCAUGUCAAAUGUUUCUGCAUGGCCUCUUUAAGCAUUAGGCGGAGAUAUUCCACCAACAUCAACAAACACCACCUAAGCUACAUCUACUCCAAUGCAAGUUCCUCUUUGCAGGUUCUUAGAUGAUUGUAUUAUGCCUAGGAGGAGAUAAUUAUAUGCUUAAGCACAUGGUAAGCACUGGCGCCUAAUCAAGAAUAGGUGCUACAAAAUAUAACAUUCUCCAUUGUACGUUGCAAGGAAGAAGUGUUGGGUUUUGCUAAGCACCUCUCAAGGCACCUGAACUAUGUGUGCUCGUCAGAGGUAGUUUCCUUCAGUUUGAUUCGAUUUCAUGCUAGGACUCUACUUUUAGCAUUGAAGAAAGCACACCAAAAAAGCUUUAGGAAAUUCAUACCGCUAGUGCACCGAAAACCUUCAUCAGGAAGGACCCAGCCGCCUGCAGCUUGUCAGUGUUCUUCCCGCUCAUUGCAAGCUCCCUAUCUGCCUACAGCAGGGCAAGAAACAAGCAGCCAUGAUGAGCCCCAAAGCUUGAGCUUUACAGACCCAAACUAACCAGCAACCCAGCUCACCUUCUAAAUCGUAUAUAUUUUGAAUAUUCUGACUGUUGGCAAUUGGUGAAUCCCAACCUUGCAGACCAAUUCGUUGGUUUCUUUUACCAUAGUUACUGUCGACCUACAGCCAUACCACAAAAUUCAUUCAUCUGUUUGAUGGACAUGAACAAAAGUACAUAAAAAACCAUUAAUCUUGUCCUUGAGGAUAAUAUGAUGCACUACAUUCAUGUUAUUAAUAAAACAAAAUUACCUAGAUGAACCGGAGCUUCAGGGAUGGGCGCAUAGGGCUAGUGAAUGGGCACAUAGGCUCACAGGUAAAAAAAUGCCCAAAUAA